UCUGGAAGCUGGCGUUGAGCGAAUGAAAUCAAAGUAAAUUGCAGUUUGUUCCGUGUCUUCCACUUCCAAAUCAGUCGCUCUUCUCAGAGCCUGAUUGAAGUGAUUGACGAAUUUGGUAAAUUGGUCCACCCAUCAAAGUGUGAAGUUCCCUUGAUGUAUUUAGUCGUAAUAAUUUUUUUUAAAUUGUUAUUGUUGUUGGCACCAUGUUCCAUGUUGUUGGCUGAGACACUGAAGAUGACAUCUUGUGGCCAGGUUUGUCUUCAGUUGUUGGGCGUAGGCUAGCCCUUUAGCCCCUACCUUCUUGGUUCUUUGUUAGUUGAAUCAGGAGGUUCUGAGAGAAAGAGUCGCCAUUUUUAUUUGUUUGGGGUUUUGAUGUUAUCUUAAUUAACUGGAGUGCUACUUGUUAGGCAUUUCUUAAAAUUUGUGAUGGGUUUUAGUUGGUUUGGGUCGGCGGUUCGUGAGCUUGCUAUUAUUCUUGACGAAUUUUGAUGCUGAAAGACUUGGAAACCAUGCUGUCCACCACGCCGAGAAGCUGAGUAACAUUCUGCUUGUACAAUGGCGCCUCUUAAUAAAAGGAACUUGAGCCAUCCAAUCUAGGGCUUCCAUCCAAUCGUGCAGGCUGCAUGGAAGUCACAUUUACCUUUGCUGUGAACAUCAUGAACACAUACACUAUUUGAAGGUUCAUGUUUAUGUAACAGUGGUGUUGUUGCAGCCUUUGGUGGUGAAAGAUAUCUGCAUCAAGUUGCUGUUCCUGUCCAAGGUGGUGUGUUGUUGCAGACUAUGGUGGUGAAAGAUAUCUGCAUCAAGUUGCUGUUCCUGUCCAAGGUGGUGUGUUGUUGCAGACUAUGGUGGUUAAAGAUAUCUGCAUCAAGUUGCUGUUUCUUGUGCAUCCAAGGUGUUGGUUUUGUGCUACAGAAGUGACAUCCAAUAUUGUGUUUAAUUGCUAUUCGUGUCUAUGCAGUUUACCUUUUACAUGUUGAUAAGAAACAAAAAAAGUAAUAUGGGGAGGAUUAUGUCAAACAAAUAAUAAACAUGUCCGGGAUGGGGAAAUGAGGAGGAAGUUGGGGUGGGGUAUUUGGUUAUGAUUUACUAAAAGAAGUGAGGUAUAUUUGUAAUGAAUAUGCUGUACUUUGUUAUAAAAACUGUCGUUAACCUAUACCUUCCUGUCAACCUAUACCUCCCCUACUUCCACUUACACAUCUAUUCCUAAAACCACAUAAGCACCAACAUCAAAUCCCACAUAUCCACUCACAUCCAUUCCUAAAACCCCACAAACACCAAACCCCCACCAUUCACACAAUUGUUGUAUAUGUAUAAUUAAAUUUUAAUAAAUAAAAUGCAUUGUAUAUAACAUGUGUGUAACUAUAUUUAUUCUCGAACACUUGCAAAAUAAAAAAUUCAUUAAACAGA